rnacentral:rRNA from 1 species
UACGGAGGGUGCAAACGUUGCUCGGAAUCAUUGGGCGUAAAGCGCACGUAGGUGCCUGUUAAGUCGGGUGUGAAAUCCCUGGGCUCAACCCAGGAAGUGCACUCGAAACUGGCAGGCUUGAGUACCGAAGAGGGUCGCGGAAUUCCCGGUGUAGAGGUCGAAAUUCGUAGAUAUCGGGAGGAACACCAGUGGCGAAGGCGGCGACC